rnacentral:rRNA from 1 species
CCAGCAGCCGCGGUAAUUCCAGCUCCAAUAGCGUAUAUUAAAGUUGUUGCAGUUAAAAAGCUCGUAGUUGAAUUUCGAGAUCAAAUUGUUGGUCGUGCCUCGGUACGUACUGGUAAUUUGGUUUCUCCCUUCUGAAGAACCAUGAUGUCAUUAGUUUGGUGUCUUGGGAAUCAGGACUGUACUUUGAAAAAUUAGAGUGUUUAAAGCAGGCUCGCGCUUGAAUACAUUAGCAUGGAAUAAUGAAAUAGGACGUUUGAUUCUAUUUUGUUGGUUUCUAGGAUCGACGUAAUGAUUAAUAGGGAUAGUUGGGGGCAUUAGUAUUCAAUUGUCAGAGGUGAAAUUCUUGGAUUUAUUGAAGACUAACUACUGCGAAAGCAUUUGCCAAGGAUGUUUUCAUUAAUCAAGAACGAAAGUUAGGGGGAUCGAAGACGAUCAGAUACCGUCGUAGUCUUAACCAUAAACUAUGCCGACUAGGGAUCGGAUGAUGUUAAUUUUUUAAUGACUCAUUCGGCGCCUUACG